GCUUUGCGAGCGUGAUUGUUAAUAUUUGUAGAAGCAACUCUUUAUAAGCGCGCCGUAAAAUAUUUUCUACAAAUUCCCGCUAUAAUUUCCCCCUAAAACUUUUAGUGAAAAACUAUGCCCUAAAAUAUUCGCUAAAACCUGUCUCUGAUAUUUACAAGAAAAUCUCCGUUUUUUCUUCCUUAAAAUUCUAUCACAAAAGUUGAGGGCUCUUCUCGUAUCUUUUAGCAGAUUGAUUGAAGUAAAUUAGAGUGAGUUGAGAUAAUUAUGUUGGGUUCUGUGUAAAUCACUUAUGGAGGUGCUAAACUUUGUCUCGAUUGUGUGCCAUCCGAUUCAAAUGGAAUCUUAUUGUUUAGGGUUUAAUAUCGUUUCUCAAAAUAUGGAUAAGAUGACUGCUAAUUUUGAAAUUAAGCUCUAUUAUUUUGUGAUGGAAGUUUAUUAUUCUUGAAAGGGCUUACAGCCGCUUCCAAAAACUUGGGUAAGACUACUGCUAAGUUUGAAGUUAAGCUCUGUUAUUUCGUGAUGGAGGUUAUUAUUCUUGAAAGUUUUGUGCCUGUUCUCUAGGUGGUGGAAGUAAUUGUAGAUUGAGGAUUAUUCAUCUGAUAUGUGUGCUUCUUUACUCGCCUAUUGAGCGUUCAAAUGAACUACUUGAGUAUUCAGUUGACAGAGUUGAAAUAGUUGGGUACGAGAUCUGGAUGGAAAUUUGAUGCAUCUAUUAAAGGAGAAACGGGUGCAUAACUUUCAUCUUCUUGAAUGGCAAUCUUCAGAUUUCUAGCAGUUUUAACUCCCCAAGGGAUACAAGAUGACUCAAGGUUCAAGGAUCCGAUCCUUCAAUGUCACGACCCAAAAUUACGCCUGUCGUGAUGACGCCUAUCUUAAUACCAGGCAAGCUGACAACCUUAAUAAACCAAAAUUUCUUUUAAGUUUGAAAAUAUAAUAUUUAAAUUCAAUAUAAAAAUUUCACAAAUACCGACAUAAAUACUCCCAAAAUCCGGUGUCACUGAGUACAUGAGCAUCUAAAUGAUAACAAAGUCUGACUGCUAAAAACGUUGCUUAAAAAUAUAGAACAGUACAAAAAUUGAAAGGAAAGAGAGUUAAGGUCUUCAAAUGUCAAGUAACUAUCUCGAUAAUUUCCAACAGAUAAAACUCCGAGAAACUAGCAACCACUGUGUUCGAAAGUACCUGGAUCUCCAUACGAGGUGCAGGGUAUAGUAUGAGUACAACUAACUCAGCAAGUAACAAUACUAAAUAAAGAACUGAAAGUAUUGACGAGCUUCACAGCUAAGUCUAAUAACUGUAAAGCACAAAUUGAGCAGUAAAUGGGAGAACAUGGCUGUAAUACUCAAUACGACCGGCCGAGUCGUCCCAUCUAUGCACUUUCGUAGAGAUUUUGAUACCGGCUCAGGUUGAUCGAGAUUUGCUA